UAUAACAGACAUUACUUCAUUCAUAUAUCAUGAUGAUGUUUUUACCCCUUUAAACUGUAGCACAGACCAAGUAUUUAAUCACACUGCCACACACACACAUACAAAGUAGGCAGUCCUAGAUACUAUCAAAUAUAAGGGCAAAUAAAAUCAUUUGGUCUACAGACAGCACAUCAUCAAACAAACCAAUAAAGGUGAAUAGACUUAACAACCAUCAGAAAACUAGACUUAGCACCAAACUGCCAUCAUCAGAAAAAUACAUGGUGCUGUAGCAAUAACAACAAAUAGACCAUGGCUGUAGUAGAGCUAGGAUCCAUAUGGGCAGAUAUAAGCAAUGCUGAACAAUGCUCCCACGUAAAUGCCAUUCCUGCUGUUAUAAAAGUUCACAGGUGAUUAAGCCCACAAGCGGACGAGAUGAUGAUCCUCUACUCAUAUCUAUCUGCAGACAAGCACAAAACACGCAAGCCAUCAUCAGAAAAUAAAUAGACCACAACUAUUCUAGAGCUAGGAUUUGUGAGCAUGUCUUGGUAAGUUCACAGUUUUUCAAUUAGCCCCACAUCUAUAUAUAAAUCAAUGUCUUGGUAAGUCAUAUUUGUGAGUAUGUAUAAUAUGAGGAUUCCUACUUAUUGUAUUGCGGCUCCUAUCUAUUGGCAUUGGCCUAAUAUUCAUGCACUGCUUGUCUCUCUCGUGUCCCUUUGCCAUCUUCCAGCAGGAAUGUGCACCCACACUGUCACACAACAGUAAAAGUAUAGAAGCAGCAGUUCACCAACCUUGCGUGCAGAGUCCAAAAGCAGGGGAUGAGUGCUCACGUUAGCUGAAUAGACAACCUAGCAUAUUCCCUGUUUAUAAGAGGAUUAAUAAAUCCACAUGCUUACCAGAUCACCAACAACCGGUGAUGCGUCGAUACCCGAAACUCCUUCCCUUGUCCGCCAUUGCGGCGUCCCCUGCUCGCCGCCACCGGCAUGAGAUCCCGAUGAGGGUGAGGAAAUAGAUGCAGAGGCAUCACAUAUUUUCUUAGAGGGCCUUGCUGCAACAGCAACUUCCCUGUCAUGGAGAAAAUUCAAGGGUCAGGAGAAAGAACCCAAAUAUAACAGAGGCAUAACUAGUUAUUUAUUACAAAUUGUUAAAAAUUAUCAAUUUUUCGUGUGCAUGAGCAGGACAAUUUAUGGAUUUGAAUUUUACUGGGUCAUUAGAAAUCACAUGCCAUGAAAUGAAAUUGAAACCAUAUACCAAAUUACAUUCCCACCAACUUGUUGUACAUAGUACAUCCAUGGCAAGAAAAAUAGCUACAAGGCAUGUUUAACUUCUACACGGCAAGAAAAAUAACUGGAAGCUUACCUACCAAACGAUCUCACGACCAACGUCUGAAACUCAAUGACACUCACGAGCAAGCUCAUCAUAUUCAUCCUUGCCAACAAUGUACAGGCAGACGUCCCCGAUCAUGGUAUACACAAUGGAGACCGACCUGGGAAAGCACCAACAAUCAGAUAUUUAAAUGGGGAGUUAAAAGGAAC
rnacentral:lncRNA from 1 species